rnacentral:rRNA from 1 species
CUCAGGGGUAAACCUGCGAAACUCGAAUGAACGAACGGGGAGAUUCAUCGUCAUUCCGCGGCGUGACGGCGCACUCUCGAUACCGUACGGCCUCGGUCGUGCGGUACGGGGCGUGUCGUUCUACGUUCGUGGACGGCGUGCACUUCUCCCUUAGUAAUACAUCGCGACCCGUUCGAUGUCGGUCUAAGCGCCGUUCGGGAGUCACUCUCGCACCCCUCACGGGGUGCGGGUGUGACCGUGACGGUUGCCGACCGGCCGUCGGACGGUACGUUGACGGAUCGCGUACGCGUUUUAGCGCGUCCGGCCCGACGCAAGGUAGCUUCGUUCACCCUCGUCCUGCCCGAGCGCGGGCGGGGGUGCGGCGCGCCUGUCGUCGCAGCCGUGCUGUCUCGGACUGUACGCGUCCCG